AAGUCGUAACAAGGUUUCCGUAGGUGAACCUGCGGAAGGAUCAUUAACACGUAUCCACACGUAUCCACCCCCAUGUGAAUUUCGUUUUCAAACCCCCUCACGCUCUCGGUCGAAGCUGUGAUCUGCGCGAUCGAGAGUCUGAUUGUUAUUAUACAAAAACAAACCAUUUUCACCUUUAUAACUUUUGCUAGUUGACUUUGUUCUGAUAUACACACACAUUUGAUUGUGCGUGUAUGUUUCAUUUUCUACUCGAAAAUCAAACACAACAUACAACUCUUAGCAAUGGAUAUCUUGGUUCUC
rnacentral:misc_RNA from 1 species